rnacentral:rRNA from 1 species
UACGGAGGGCGCGAGCGUUGUCCGGAAUCACUGGGCGUAAAGGGCGCGUAGGCGGCUCGAUAAGGCUUGCGUGAAAGUCCGGGGCUCAACCCCGGAUCGGCGCGGGCGACUGUUGGGCUGGAGCACGGUAGGGGCAGACGGAAUUCCGGGUGUAGCGGUGGAAUGCGUAGAGAUCUGCAAGAACACCCGUGGCGAAGGCGGCCAGCUGGGCCGGGUCCGACGCUGAGGCGCGAAAGCGUGGGGAGCAAACAGG